CAUACAUAAACUUGUUUAUUAUUCAUCUAUCUCUUUUCAAAACUUUGAACAAAAUCAUUGCUAAAUUGCACCAUGAAUUCUAAAGACAAAUCCGCUGGUAGCUAUCUUUGUCCAACUACUAGGCCAUCAUCAUCAUCAUCCUCAACAUCCACUACUGGAACUAAACAUCCAACAACGACAAACGUCUUUGCCAAGAGAGAAACUAAAAGUAAAAAGUAGCUAGUAUGGAACAGAAGGGACCAUUUAUAGAAGUUGUUAUAUAUAACACAUAUACCUAUGUUUUGUUUUAUUAAUUCAUUUAUUCCAAUUUGCUUCUUAUAUGUUUAUUCUUCAUGUAUUAUAGAAAAAGCUAGUAGGUUUUAUUUCGGAAGUAUACACUAUUGUAUUUUAAUAUCUUUGUUGUACUUGUGCUCUAUAUUAUAAGUUGUAUGAUCCCUAUUGAUUCAAUAAUGGAUAUAUACAGUUAUAUUUUUUAA